CCUACGGGUGGCAGCAGUGAGGAAUAUUGGUCAAUGGACGAGAGUCUGAACCAGCCAAGUAGCGUGAAGGAUGACUGCCCUAUGGGUUGUAAACUUCUUUUAUAUGGGAAUAAAAUGUUCCACGUGUGGGAUUUUGUAUGUACCAUAUGAAUAAGGAUCGGCUAACUCCGUGCCAGCAGCCGCGGUAAUACGGAGGAUCCGAGCGUUAUCCGGAUUUAUUGGGUUUAAAGGGAGCGUAGGCGGGUUGUUAAGUCAGUUGUGAAAGUUUGCGGCUCAACCGUAAAAUUGCAGUUGAUACUGGCAUCCUUGAGUACAGUAGAGGUAGGCGGAAUUCGUGGUGUAGCGGUGAAAUGCUUAGAUAUCACGAAGAACUCCGAUUGCGAAGGCAGCCUGCUGGACUGUAACUGACGCUGAUGCUCGAAAGUGUGGGUAUCAAACAGGAUUAGAUACCCUUGUAGUC
rnacentral:rRNA from 1 species